rnacentral:rRNA from 1 species
AAUGAACGUUGGCGGCGUGGAUUAGGCAUGCAAGUCGCGCGACAAGGUCCGCAAGGACUGGAGGAGCGGCAAACGGGGUAGUAAGGCAUCGGAACGUACCCUUCAGUCGGGGAUAGCGGCGGGAAACUGCCGGUAAUACCCGAUGAUCUCUUCGGAGCAAAGGUCUGCCGCUGAGGGAGCGGCCGAUGUGAUAUCAGCUAGUUGGUAGGGUAAUGGCCUACCAAGGCGAAGACGUCUAGGGGGUGUGAGAGCACGACCCCCACACUGGGACUGAGAUACUGCCCAGACACCUACGGGAGGCUG